UUUUCGAGGUGUUUGUUUUCUGUUUUUCUUCUCUUUUCUUCUCUUCUUGCCCUGUCAGGGUUCUGGUCUCGGGGACCAGGCUGCCUUUAGGCAGUCGGGGGGCAGCGCGUCUGCCCCUGUUCAACCUUGUAAGGAUGUUUCCUCAAAAAAAAAAAAAAGCUGCGCAGGGUGAUGCAGCUGCGUUUCACUGCCGCCACGCUAACCCCUGACACCCUGUCGGCUCUGCCCACUCAGCUUCUCACCGCACAGCUCAAGGCGGCUAAGCUGGAGCACUUUGUUGCCAUCUGGUCGGCGGGUGGCGCGCUUUGUGAAGUGGAGGAGGUUCAGGGUGGGUCACCGAAGUUGAUCUUGCGGCUGACGCUUGCAUCACCUGUGCAGGCCCCCUAGGUUUCCUUUUGGGCGGCGGUUCGUUCCAGGCGCUGGCGUGGCGUUUAUCGUCAUCAGCUUAUCUGGCGCCCAUGUGUUUUAGCUCUGGCUGGCGUCGCAGCGCCUGGGCGGCUGUGGGACUUCCUGCACAGCGCGUCUUGCAGCGGGCUGGAGCCCGCUUGGUCAGCGCCACAUCUGGCCCGUUUAGUUUUCUGCUUGUGUCUCCUCGGCCGGUUCUCCUGGGGUGUUGCUUAAGCAACCGACUUGUGGGGGUGGGGUGGGUUUGGGCGGGGCGAGUGCGUAGCGCUGGUGUUUCUUUUUCUGGCGCGCGGUGGUGGUGGUUCUUGCGGUUAGGCUGUGGUGUAGGUUGGUGCUUGGGUUAGGUCUGGCUGUGUUUUUGUGCAACCCCUCCCGGGGGGCGGGGGGGCCAGCCUCCUGCUCUG
rnacentral:lncRNA from 1 species